AUUGAACGCUGGCGGCAUGCCAUACACAUGCAAGUCGAACGGCAGCACGGGUGCUUGCACCUGGUGGCGAGUGGCGAACGGGUGAGUAAUACAUCGGAACGUACCUUAUCGUGGGGGAUAACGCAGCGAAAGCUGUGCUAAUACCGCAUACGCCCUGAGGGGGAAAGCGGGGGAUCGAAAGAUCUCGCGCGAUUAGAGCGGCCGAUGCCUGAUUAGCUUGUUGGUGGGGUAAAAGCCCACCAAGGCGACGAUCAGUAGCUGGGCUGAGAGGACGAUCAGCCACACUGGGACUGAGACACGGCCCAGACUCCUACGGGAGGCAGCAGUGGGGAAUUUUGGACAAUGGGGGCAACCCUGAUCCAGCAAUGCCGCGUGAGUGAAGAAGGCCUUCGGGUUGUAAAGCUCUUUUGUCAGGGAAGAAACACCGGCUCUAACACAGUCCGGGAAUGACGGUACCUGAAGAAUAAGCACCGGCUAACUACGUGCCAGCAGCCGCCGUAA
rnacentral:rRNA from 1 species